GAUGAACGCUGGCGGCGUGCCUAAUACAUGCAAGUCGAGCGAACAGACGAGGAGCUUGCUCCUCUGACGUUAGCGGCGGACGGGUGAGUAACACGUGGAUAACCUACCUAUAAGACUGGGAUAACUUCGGGAAACCGGAGCUAAUACCGGAUAAUAUAUUGAACCGCAUGGUUCAAUAGUGAAAGACGGUUUUGCUGUCACUUAUAGAUGGAUCCGCGCCGCAUUAGCUAGUUGGUAAGGUAACGGCUUACCAAGGCGACGAUGCGUAGCCGACCUGAGAGAGUGGUCGGCCACACUGGAACUGAGACACGGUCCAGACUCCUACAGGAGGCAGCAGUAGGGAAUCGUCCGCAAUGGGCGAAAGACUGACGGAGCAACGCCGCGUGAGUGAUGAAGGUCUUCGGAUCGGAAAACUCUGUUAUUAGGGAAGAACAAAUGUGUAAGUAACUAUGCACGUCUUGACGGUACCUAAUCAGAAAGCCACGGCUAACUACGUG
rnacentral:rRNA from 1 species